GACGAAGACAGAGAAAUAAGUAAGUUAACAAGCUGACCGCGGGUGGGUGGGUUUGUUGCACUCUCUAAGGCGCCUUCGUCGCUUUUUGGAGUGGAUAAAAGUAAUAGGGCUAAGAGAACCUUGUUGUUUAAAUUUUCAGCGCAGUCGAAGAACUCUAAACGCAUCGCUCAGCGGCCCCCCGCCCCCUCCCCCCCUUGAGACGCCACGCGCAGGACGUGUAGCUUCUCCCUCUUAUCUUAUAACAUUUUUUGUGAAUUAAAUCAUGCAUGUGAUAAUCGUGAAUUUUCAUCUUUUGUAUUUCCAGCAAUACUAUGUUGAAGAGGAUUGGACAACGGGCCAAUGAUUAUAAGUGCGACGACGACGAAGACAGAGAAAUAAGUAAAUUGACAAGCUGAUCGCGGCGCAGGCAGCUUUGCCGGAGGAGGUGGGUGCGAAGCGAAAGCGUCGCGAAGAUGACGAUUUCAUGGUGGAGAAAGACGAAAUUGCUUUCUGCUCCGACAUUGCAUAUCAAACAAGAUCCAUUCGUUUUUAUAUUAAUGACGACGAAGAACACAAACCAGAGACUGCAGCACACCGGAAAGGACACGUCCAACGGAGUAAGAACAACACUCAGUGGCGUGGCUAGAUGCUCCUUAAUGGGAGGGUUUUGUGGCACUACAUCCACUGCGACGUCAGGUACAUCCAGACCAUCUCUCACUGUGGAGACUUCAGCCAUAGCUCUGCCACGGCCAACACCGUCACCACCGGCACCGUGCUGGUCAUGGACACGGCCUGCCGCGAGGCCAUCCGGGCCGGGGUCUACCACUGCUUCGGGACGACUCUGCAGGUCACCCCGAACCGGUCACCACGGUCGCGAGCUCCCGUACCUCAAACGGUGCCUGCUCCGGUGUCAGACCGCGGUGUCC